AAUAAAAUCAAAACAUGUUACUUAGCUAUUAAAACACGUAGAAGAAAAAGAAGAGAAACAAAAGAAAAAUAUGCUUUGGUCAGUGACGAGAAAAUCAGCCGUUAGUUUCAAUUCAUUCUAGAUUUUAACAGAUUUAGAGACUAAGACGAAGACGGCUAAUGACAUCGAACGGUGAGGAGCUCGACAUUUUAGAAGUGCCACUUCAUUAUAAUAGAUUGAUAGUUUGAGAAUUAGUGGACAAAAUGCCUACAUAGUACUCCGAUUUUGGUAGUAGUUACUAAAUGCCCAUCUUUGAGUAUUUUAAUCGGUUAUGAACUUUUUGGAUGUAUAAUAAUUAUUUCAGAAUUUGACGAAGUUUGUUUAUCAAA